AAUUAAUUGGUUGACAGCACUAAUAUAAAAUCACACCAUAUUCAUUAAUGCUCUCAUUUUUUUUUUUUAACAAGAUAUGUUGUUAUAGCUGUAGAUGAAAUGAAAUAUGUGUGCCGUUGUCUGUGUGCACAGAAGAGGGCGCCCUAACUGGGAUUCCUAAAUGUCACCUCCUAUGAAGACAGCAGAAGUUGAAUAGUCUUGGCUGGCCGUUCCCAGACACUGUAACAGAUAGGUGACCCGAGAGAGCUGUGUGUGGAUAAGUGCGGCACAGAGGGAAGCGGCGUUCUUCUGUUCCGCCGAGCCUUUCAUCUCAAUUUAAACCAUCCUCUUCAUAACCUUCCACUCCUUUCUCUUCUCCAUCUCGUCCUCUUGACAAUAUCUUCUUUUCUUUUGCUUUAUUUCUGCCCCCUCACCUCUCGCUCUGUCCGUCUCGCUCUUCCUCCCGUUCUCCCGCUGUGAGUCGAGGUGUAAUAUAUCCAUAGCCCAUGUGUGCUGAAGUCUUUAACAUUCUUUCUUCUGCAGAAAGCCAAAGCUAGCACUGUACUGCGCGAACACAUCAAACACCACUUCUUUAUCGAUCGCUUUCUUGCUGUGAUUCAGGGGUCAGGGGUCAGCGUUCCACUUCCUUGCACUGUCUUCCAUCUCGAAUACCUGCUUUUGUGUUUGUAUUCUUGCAUGUUUGUCAUAUGUAGUCUUGUAUAGGUUUAAACUGCAUUUUUUUUUUUUUACUUAUUUUAGGUGCAGCAGCAGAAUCGAUCAGCUGUUUUGAAACUCUGUUGAUGUGCUUUGCAGUGACAGGACACUGAAUCACGCAGAGCAUCAGAGCGUUGAUCUGACCACAGGCCGUGAUCUCGGCGACCUUUCCAGGGGUCAGCUGGCGGCCAUGACGACAGAGGGGUCAGUCUGAGGCCUCGGUUCAUCUCUCGGUCAACAUCAGGUCACAUUUUGGUCAACAUCAGUGGUGUGUUCAAGACCCUGAAGCUACGAAGAUGGUUUCAUCAAAGAGCAGAUAAUGAGUUGAUCCAGCAUUCUUUUGACCCGAGGUGGAGCAGAGACAGAGCUCGGCUCAAUCAGGACGACGUCUUGGCUAAACCCCCACCGUGACUCCCCAGCCUGCCCACAGCCAAUCAAUAUAACUGCAGUUGGAGAUACAGUGUGUUCCUCGGGCGGAUCAGCGAAUGAAAUGGGACUUCCAUGUGUAAAGCUGGCGAAGAUGAGUACGCUCUGAUGCUGAUGAUUAACGAUGUGGCUAGCGUCGAUUCUAAGCGGGACGCUUGCAUCCUCCCCCGGGCCUGAUCUCACUGAAAGGCCGACCGCCCACUAGGGGCAGAAGACGCUGCCAAACAAGUGAUGUGUGCUGGUGGUUAUGAGCCUCAUGCCUAGCCUAUACUGCUAACCUGGAGUAGGACAUCUGAGGAAACUUGAGGAAAACUUCAUUAGUAUGAUGGAAAGAUGGUGGAAUCAAAGGUCCUGACCGGGGAGAGUGGAAGAUACGGGUGAACUGCUAAAAAAUUCAAGAGAGACAAAGUGAAGCCCCAGAACGGUGCUCGCGGCGCAAGCUGAAGGGAGAGACCUGUGCGUGACCCCGGCGAGAUGGAAGCCCGUCCGCAGCUCCUGACAGGCUGACCUGCCUAUUUCAAGUAUUAAUUUGGCCUGAACUCUGUGUGAACCGAGGCCAGGGGAGAAGCAGUCAGGGGAUGUUUGAGGCAGGACCCAGGGCAAACCUGUCCGCCUGAGCAAAUAUUGGGGUAGUCCGUCAGAGGGUCGUGGAUGAAAUGGAACUGUCAAACCCGCGUAAACUUUGGGGAAGAGGUGAGGCCACAAGAGAGUGAACAAGGGGGUGGGGGGGAGUUAGGCAAACUCGUUUCCUCAAAUGUUCGAAAAGCGACCCCCCCUCCAAUAGUUCUCUUCACCACUUGUCAGCACCCUCCAGCUCAGAGUUCAUUCCCCCAGUUCUUUCACCGGAGUUUGCCCUCUCUCGCUCACCUGCUUUGCUCCGCAUGUGUUUUUGAGGUGGCACAAAAGAAAACUGGGAGUUCCUAAAAUCUGAUGUUUAAUUUGAACGAAAGUCUGUCAACAGAGCACAGAUAGAAAGCAGAUGUGUGCGCGCAUGUACUUAUGUGGGAUGCUCCUUUCUCAGUGAGAUUUUCUUUUAAGGUGACCUUUUUAUAUUGAGCAUCGACUUGAAAUUACACUCAGAUGAAAACACCCCAAUGUAUGUCCACUCUUCGUGACAACCCUAAAAAAAAUUCUGUAGAUACAGUAACGUAAUGUAAAAUAUUUGCAAAUACAUAUA